rnacentral:rRNA from 1 species
UACGUAGGGUGCGAGCGUUAAUCGGAAUUACUGGGCGUAAAGCGUGCGCAGGCGGUUCGUUAAGUCAGAUGUGAAAGCCCCGGGCUCAACCUGGGAACUGCAUUUGAAACUGGCGGGCUUGAGUGUGGCAGAGGGGGGUGGAAUUCCGCGUGUAGCAGUGAAAUUCGUAGAUAUGGGGAGGAACACCGGUGGCGAAGGCGGCCACCUGGACGGUAACUGACGCUGAGGCGCGAAAGCGUGGGGAGCAAACAGG